GCCAGCAUGGUAUAGGGGUUUGAGCAUGAGACUAUGACUCCAAAAAUCAGGGUUUGAAUCCCUGUUCAGCCA